rnacentral:rRNA from 1 species
UACGUAGGGUCCGAGCGUUGUCCGGAAUUACUGGGCGUAAAGAGCUCGUAGGCGGUUUGUCGCGUCUGCCGUGAAAGUCCGGGGCUCAACUCCGGAUCUGCGGUGGGUACGGGCAGACUAGAGUGAUGUAGGGGGAGACUGGAAUUCCUGGUGUAGCGGUGAAAUGCGCAGAUAUCAGGAGGAACACCGAUGGCGAAGGCAGGUCUCUGGGCAUUAACUGACGCUGGAGGAGCGGAAAAGCAUGGGGAGCGAACAGG